GUGCUCUGUAUGGCAGCAUGUAGGUUACAAAUUGGAAUGACACAGAGAGUAGCAUUGCCAUUGCCCAAGGAUGACGUACAAAUUCAUGAAACAUUCCAUAUCCAA